rnacentral:misc_RNA from 1 species
GUUUCCGUAGGUGAACCUGCAGAUGGAUCAUCGCCGAAACCUUAUGGGUAAUGCUUUGAUCACGAGAGAUCGGUACCAAUGGAAUCAGGCUUGUUCUUGAUUUCAAUCGGUUUCUCACCCCAUCUAAGCUCAUGGAGAGGUGUCUAGUCCCAAUUGGAGUCGCUUUGAGUGACGGCUAUGAAAAUUGGGUAUGUUCCCCGUGAGGGUCGAGCAUAGACUUUAUGAACAGUGCUGGAGCUGUCGCCUCACCAAAAAAUCAUCGAUAACUGGUGGCUAUGUGUGACAUUAGUCACAUAGGUAUCUGCUGAUGCAGAGAGCCUUAAUGAGUUGUUCGUGUCAUCUGACCUACAAUCGCCAGUAUCGGUAAAUCAACCCAAUUAACUUGUUUCUUGUGUCGUGUUAAUACAUACUGGCAAAGUGUAUUAGCUUUAGCGAUGGAUCGGUUGAUUCGCGUAUCGAUGAAAAACGCAGCAAGCUGCGUUAUUUACCACGAAUUGCAGACGCUUAGAGUGGUGAAGUUUUGAACGCACAGCGCCGUUGGGUUUUCCCUUCGGCACGUCUGGCUCAGGUUGUUUAAUAAGCGAAAGUGUUGAAAGUUCAUUAAACGAGAGUUCGGUGAUACUGACAACACUACGUCGAGCGGUGUACUGUUGAAAGUACCCCGUUCAAGUAUCUUUAUGGGGCAACAUGUCUUCUAUAUGGAGACAUGAAAGAUAUUAAGAGUAUAUACCUGUGGAUGCCCACGUAUGAAAUAUGACGUGUCGUAUACACGGCUAGGAGGUAUGUCUCAGAUGAAUUUGUUUAUGCAACCUGAGCUCAGUCGUGAUUACCCGCUGAACUUAAGCAUAU